rnacentral:rRNA from 1 species
CCUACGGGAGGCAGCAGUGAGGAAUAUUGGUCAAUGGGCGCUAGCCUGAACCAGCCAAGCAGCGUGAAGGAUGACUGCCCUAUGGGUUGUAAACUUCUUUUAUAUGGGAAUAAAGUGCAGUACGUAUACUGCUUUGCAUGUACCUUAUGAAUAAGGAUCGGCUAACUCCGUGCCAGCAGCCGCGGUAAUACGGAGGAUCCGAGCGUUAUCCGGAUUUAUUGGGUUUAAAGGGAGCGUAGAUGGGUUGAUAAGUCAGUUGUGAAAGUUUGCGGCUCAACCGUAAAAUUGCAAUUGAUACUGGCAGGCUUGAGUACAGUUGAGGUAGGCGGAAUGCGUGGUGUAGCGGUGAAAUGCUUAGAUAUCACGAAGAACCCCGAUUGCGAAGGCAGCUUACUAAGCUGUGACUGACAUUGAUGCUCGAAAGUGUGGGUAGCAAACAGGAUUAGAUACCCCGGUAGUC